rnacentral:lncRNA from 1 species
AUGUUACAUGGUGAAACCUUCAAUUUCUUAAGCCAUAAGAAAAGUAGGUCAAAUAGUGAGGCUCCAGACCACCCAGCUAUUCUGAACUGGAUGCCAUUUGCAAGAACAACUAACAAUGGGCAUUCUGUGUUUACACUCUGCCUUGACUUCAGUCGUCAAGGUCCAGAACAAAUGCCCCCAAGUCUGUCUCUUAAGGUAAAUUAAUCACUCUCAACUCUGUGAUCCCAAACCACAUUAUUGAAAUCACUGGUAUAAGACAACUUGUAUUGUUUUGAAGAUAAUUUUGUAUCUGUUAGUACUAUUAGUCUGUUAGCUCCUAGAGGACUUUCCCAGACACAGUAGAAAUUCUGUAAAUUCUUUUCUGAAUGAAGGCUGACCUCACAAGCUAUUUCUUUAUCAUUCUCUAUCCUAAGAGACCAGUCAGUUACAUGUGUGCCUCUGUGUGUAUGUUCCUUUGUAACAAUGUGCUUAGUAUUUUCUUCAGACAUCAGUUUGGACAUUAAUAAAAAUCUGGUAGUGUGUAGCAUUAAAAGCAAAAUAAAGGUUGCAUAUCCAGCUUAGUUUUCUUUUAAAGGGAUAACUCUAAAAGUUUGUAAUUUAAGAUUAAGAUAUGCAGGUUCAGUCCCCAGUCUGCCACAGUGGGUUAAAAAGAUCCA